GGGCCGGUAGCUCAGGGGUUAGAGCAGCGGACUCAUAAUCCGUCGCGCGAUGGUUCGAAUCCAUCCCGGCCCA
rnacentral:tRNA from 1 species